rnacentral:rRNA from 1 species
CAAUGGUUGGUACAACGAGUCGCAAGUCGGUGACGGCAAGCAAAUCUCUUAAAGCCAAUCUCAGUUCGGAUUGUAGGCUGCAACUCGCCUACAUGAAGUCGGAAUCGCUAGUAAUCGCGGAUCAGCACGCCGCGGUGAAUACGUUCCCGGGCCUUGUACACACCGCCCGUCACACCACGAGAGUUUGUAACACCCGAAGUCGGUGAGGUAACCUUUUAGGAGCCAGCCGCCUAAGGUGGGAGAGAUGAUUGGGGUGAAGUCGUAACAAGGUAGCCGUAUCGGAAGGUGCGGCUGGAUCACCUCCUUUCUAAGGAA